AACGUUCUCCAGGGACCUAAGCCCUGUUCAUGUUUUAAGAUUUGAAUCCAGGCUUCCGGCAUCCAAGCUGUCACCAUCGCCUGUCUAAUCCCAAUGCCACAUCUAAUUGUGCCACAGCCACAGUCUGACGUCAGGAUCAUGCAUAGCGCGUCUCUGUCUCUCCUUCCUCUCUGUUCUGGUUCCCUCUCCCUGUCUAUGCCUUGACUCGCUCUGGUCGUCCCCCAUACCAUGCUAGCAUAAGCUGAUAGAGUCUCUCUAUGUAAAGCGUCUGCUGGCUUGUUCAGAGCGUUCAGCCUCCUUGUGUGACCUCAGAGCCACAAAGCCGUUGCCAUUGUGCCUUACCAGCCCCGUGUGCCACCAUCGCCUCUGUAGCCACCCAUUCCCUCAUUUGUCCAGCACAGGACAUCCAUGUACUUCCAUGUGUCCUGCUGCACUUUUUAAGUCUGGCUAACUUGCGCUGGCCACCCUGCUAGACAUGCAGGUGUGGCGGCGGCAGUAGACAGGGCUCCUGCAGAGCUAAGUGAGAACUGUAAUCAGUGUGGUGUGAGGCGGGCUAACUAGGUGAAGGGGAAAUUUACUCUACUUCUUUGUUUCUUUCGGUAAAUGUUUCACUCAGGUGCUGGGUGCCCGGAAUAUAGCAGUAGACAGGAGAGGCAAGACCGAAGUUUGAGGUAGACGAGCAGGCGAGCCGUUUGCCCGGGCGCAGAGCAUGAAGGCCGGGCGGGCGCGGGGAGCGGGCGCCCGCCGCCCGGCGCGGGGGUGAGCGAGAGAGAGAGCGGAGCGCGUGUGGCCG
rnacentral:lncRNA from 1 species